AUUGAACGCUGGCGGCAGGCCUAACACAUGCAAGUCGAGCGGAUGAAGGGAGCUUGCUCCUGGAUUCAGCGGCGGACGGGUGAGUAAUGCCUAGGAAUCUGCCUGGCAGUGGGGGAUAACGUCUGGAAACGGGCGCUACUACUGCAUACGUCCUGAGGGAGAAAGUGGGGGAUCUUCGGACCUCACGCUAUCAGAUGAGCCUAGGUCGGACUAGCUAGUUGGUGGGGUAAAGGCCUACCAAGGCGACGAUCCGUAACUGGCCUGAGAGGAUGAUCAGUCACACUGGAACUGAGACGCGGACCUGGCUCCUGCGGGAGGCAGCAGUGGGGAAUAUUAGACAGUGGGCGGGAGCCUGAUACAGCCAUGCCGCGUGUGUGGAGAAGGUCUUCGGAGUGUAAAGCACUUUAAGUUGGGGGGAAGGGCAGUAAGUUAAUACCUUGCUGUUUUGACGGUACCAACAGAAGAAGCACCGGCUAACUUCGUG
rnacentral:rRNA from 1 species